rnacentral:lncRNA from 1 species
ACAACUAUACGUAGCAAUCUCAUUCAACCAUGUGAUUUCUCUAAGAAAAACAAUACAUGGUCUCUGACCUUUUACUUAUAUGUAGGGUCAACCACGUUCGAUAGAUCUACCUGUCCCUUCUCCUCAGUCCAAGAAAUCCAAAAAACACAAGCAUUCUGCUGCCACAAGACCUGAGGUAUUUCUUGUCGGCUUGUCCGAUCUUCUGACUAGAAUAACUACUUAU